UAGCUCAGUGGUCGAGCGCUGGAUUUGGAAGCCACAGGUCGGUGGUUCGAACCCACC
rnacentral:tRNA from 1 species